AGGCAAAAUGACCAUGAACCCUGAAAUCCCUACUGACACUGAUUAACAUGUUUCUUUCAGACUGGGGACUCUGGAACGAUGCGGCCUGUAAUGACCAGAAGCCGUACGUGUGUCAAGUACCUGUCUAGUAGUUCAGAGAGAACCUGAAGAGCAGCAGUUGGACCAGCCGGCUUCAACUGUAACCACUGCAAGCUUUUACAUUUACUGCAAUAAAUAUUCAGCAUCAGACAACAUGUUGAUGGUUCCUGGUUCUUUUCCUGUUUGUCACUGCCAGUGAUCCAUCUGUCCUGAUGUGAUAGGGAUGUCCAUUAAUUACUGACAUUUUCUGAUGAAGGUUAGCCUACUUUAAGCAAUGAUAAACUAGAGCAGUGCUUCUCAAUCUUUUUUCAAUAAUGUACCCCCUAUCAAUUUAUUUCUCAGCCAAGUACCCCCUGACCGGCCCCAAACAUUUGAGAUAAAAAUAAAGCCUAUGACUACGAUAUAGUGAUGUCAUCAGCAUGAGAUUUAUUAAACAUUGUAAAUAAAAACAUCUGCAAAAAACAAUGUAAUAACCAAUCAUGCAGAUCAAGUACUCCUUUACUGGCCCCAAACAUGUUUGAUAAAAAACUAUAUAAAAUAACAUAUACAUGUAUGUCUAUAUAUUAUACAUACCCGUAUUAUAGUGCCUGUAUGUGACCUCAGACAGUGCGUUUCCCUUUUGCAAAAGAAGAGAUGUGGAAGUUACCAACAAAACAGACAGCGAAAGACAUUUCCGACCGUCCUGCCAACCUGUACACAUUUUAACAUCAAUGUACGCUGUAAUGUUUUCUCACUCUAAAGUCACUGAAGCUGCUGCUGUUUACAUCCUGUCGUCUCUGCAGCGGGGGGGCUGCUCCGUUCCCCCCGCGACUGACGCACACACUGGAGGCAGGAAAAACAAAACACAGCUGGCUAAACUAUUUAAAAAUGGUGGGUUUGUUCAGGACACCCCCCUCUGUCGCUUUCUCGUCACCUUUUGGGAUCAGCUCAGCUCGCUUGGAACCUGGACUGAGGUGGUACUAAAUAAAGUACCUGUUAGCAGGUACCAGGGACUUCUUAUCAUAAUGGAAAACCAAAAAAGGCGAGUAGAGCAGGUAACAUGUAAUGGAAAAACACCAUAUGUAUUUUAGGAUCGACAUUAAGAAAACACUUUCACAAAAUCAUCUAAACUAUUGAUGUCCAGACGGAUUAAUUAUUAAUAAACUGUAAAACAACAUCAGGUUUAUUUCCAGCUUAUAUAAACAUCAUCUCAUUCUAAUAAAUCAGAACAAAGAGAGAAAAUAUUUCUGCAUGAUGCUGUUAGUACAAACUCUACACUUCCUGUUUCAAAAUAAAAGCCCUCUGGACAGAAUCCUUUAGUUUCUAUCCAGGCUUUUAUUGUGAAACAUGUGCAGGGCCACCCCCCUCCCACGGUGCAUCAGCUGCAGCUGCUGCCAUCUGGUGGAGCUGCUACGUUACUACACGGCUCAUCUAUUCUCAGUUGGCAUCACUUUAUGUUUCAGAGAUCAUCAGACUGGUUUUCUCUGCUCUGGAUCUGACAGAAAAAUAAUCAUGUUUCAGACAGAAUUAUAAGCAGCAGCAUGUUCAGAGAAAGUUAAUAUCAUAUUAAUAACACGGAGGAGUUUCUUCAGAUAAACAGGAUCAGAGGAUCAUCUGAUAAUCAUAAUAAUACAUUUUAUUUAUGUAGCGCUUUUCAUGGUACUCAAAGACACUUUACACUAAACUUUUUUUUAAAACAGAUAAGCAAUAAAACCAACACAUAAAACAAGCUUUUUAGAAGCAAUUAAAAAUAAUAAAAGCAGUAACUCUCAGGUGAGAAAUGUCAGACUAUUGGAUGUAGACAGCUAAUCUGAACAGGUGACUUAUGAUGAGUGUCCAGGUCAGUACAGUCACAGGUGUGUAUGGGUAGAGAGUUCUAGAGGGAGGGGGCUGUAGGUGUGUAUGGGUAGAGAGUUCUAGAGGGAGGGGGCUGUAGAUGUGUAUGGGUAGAGAGUUCUAGAGGGAGGGGCUGUAGAUGUGUAUGGGUAGAGAGUUCUAGAGGGAGGGGCUGUAGGUGUGUAUGGGUAGAGAGUUCUAGAGGGAGGGGCUGUAGAUGUGUAUGGGUAGAGAGUUCUAGAGGGAGGGGCUGUAGAUGUGUAUGGGUAGAGAGUUCUAGAGGGAGGGGCUGUAGAUGUGUAUGGGUAGAGAGGACUAGAGGGAGGGGCUGUAGAUGUGUAUGGGUAGAGAGUUCUAGAGGGAGGGGCUGUAGAUGUGUAUGGGUAGAGAGUUCUAGAGGGAGGGGCUGUAGGUGUGUAUGGGUAGAGAGUUCUAGAGGGAGGGGCUGUAGAUGUGUAUGGGUAGGGAGUUCUAGAGGGAGGGGCUGUAGAUGUGUAUGGGUAGAGAGUUCUAGAGGGAGGGGCUGUAGGUGUGUAUGGGUAGAGAGUUCUAGAGGGAGGGGCUGUAGGUGUGUAUGGGUAGAGAGUUCUAGAGGGAGGGGCUGUAGGUGUGUAUGGGUAGAGAGUUCUAGAGGGAGGGGCUGUAGGUGUGUAUGGGUAGAGAGUUCUAGAGGGAGGGGCUGUAGGUGUGUAUGGGUAGAGAGUUCUAGAGGGAGGGGCUGUAGAUGUGUAUGGGUAGAGAGUUCUAGAGGGAGGGGCUGUAGAUGUGUAUGGGUAGAGAGGACUAGAGGGAGGGGGCUGUAGAUGUGUAUGGGUAGAGAGCUCCAGAGGGAGGGGGAUGCAAUGGUGAAAGUACCCCAAGUAUGGCGCUCGGUCCUGAGUGGUGGGGAGAGGAGGUUUGCGUCACAGGAGCAGAAGUUACGGGUGUGGGGGGUUGUGGCAGAGGAGCAGGUCUGUGAGAUAGGACGGAGCCUGGUUAUGGAGGGCUUUGUGGGCGAGGAGGAGGACUUUAAACUGGAU